GAGGGAAUACUACAAAGCAAACAAAGUCACAAGCUAAAGUAAAUACAAUGAAUGCAAACCAAGUACCUCUUUCUAACUACUACUGCAUAAUUAUGCAGACAAGCUACAAAUUUCAAAAUGAACACUCCCACCAAACUCAACACAGGGAACCUAUGCAAUAAGAUUCCUAAGUACAACCUACGUACCCACCACAUCAGUCUAAUCAACCUUCACAUAACACCCUAUCAGCCUUCAUACUCUGAACAACCGGCCUAGUCUAAUAAGA
rnacentral:lncRNA from 1 species